CAUGGGUAGCAAACAGGAUUUGGUACCCUGGUAGUCCAUGCUAUAAACAAUGAAUAUUAAAUGUUUAAUAUAAAAUUUAACAUAAAAAGUUAACACGUUAAAUAUUUCGCCUGGGGAGUAAAACCGCAAGGUUGAAACUCAAAGGAAUUGACGGGAGCUUAUACUUACGGUGGAGCAUGUGGUUUAAUCCGAUAGUCCGCGUGGAAUCUUACCAAUUUUUGACAGUCCUAAGUUAUAUCUAGGAAACAGGUGUUGCAUGGCCGUCGUCAGCUUAUGUUUUGAAAUUUAAGAUAUAAGUACAACCCUUACUUUAAUUUACUAAUAUUCAAAAAAAUUAAAAAUAUUUAAUUAUAUUGAAUAAGUACUAUUAAAUUUGAAAUAUGUAAAUAUUUUAAAGGAUGAAGAUAGGUCGUUAUGACCCUUAUAAAUU
rnacentral:rRNA from 1 species